UACGAAGGGGGCAAGCGUUGUUCGGAAUUACUGGGCGUAAAGGGCGCGUAGGCGGCUUGCACCGUCAGAUGUGAAAUUCCUGGGCUUAACCUGGGGGCUGCAUUUGAUACGUGUGGGCUUGAGUGCGGAAGAGGGUCGUGGAAUUCCCAGUGUAGAGGUGAAAUUCGUAGAUAUUCGGAAGAACACCAGUGGCGAAGGCGACUUACUGGACACAUAUUGACGCUGAGGUGCGAAAGCGUGGGGAGCAAACA
rnacentral:rRNA from 1 species